rnacentral:misc_RNA from 1 species
UCCAAGCAAAAGCCAGGCGAAGACAAGCAAGAAGAAGAAGACUCAGCUUAGAGUCAUUCAAAGUGGAUUUGUUCUGUGGCAGAUGGUUUCAUGCCUUUUUUUUUCUUUUUCUUUUUUCUUUUUCAAUUAUGGUUUAGGAAUCAAAAUUUUAUAUCUACUAUUUGUGUUAUUCCCACAUGCAGUUUGUCUCUUAGAAUCUGUUUGGGGAGUCACUUCUGGCGCUGUUGUAGAGGAAAACUUGCAAAUCUGAGAUGAUUUAUAGUUAUGAUCCCUGUUCACUUUUUUAUUGAUUUUGCGGGCAACAAGUGAUUAGGAUGUUACUCAUAUUGUUUAACAAUAGAUCUGUUGUAGCUGGCCGAUAGAAAAGAUUUUUGUGCGUUAUGAGCCACAAUCUGAUCUACCUGAGCAGUAGCUUUAUUUUUGCCCGCUGUAGUACCGUGUACUGAAUUUAGAGAUUU